rnacentral:misc_RNA from 1 species
GUGAAUCAUCGAAUCUUUGAACGCAACUUGCGCUCUCUGGUAUUCCGGAGAGCAUGCCUGUUUGAGUGUCAUGAAAUCUCAACCAUUAGGGUUUCUUAAUGGCUUGGAUUUGAGUGUUGCCAGUCUCUGGCUCACUUUAAAGGAGUUAGCGAGUUUAACAAUGUCGUCUGGCGUAAUAAGUUUCGCUGGUAAGACUUGUGAAGUUUGCUUCUAAUCGUCUUCGGACAAUUACUUUGACUCUGGCCUCAAAUCAGGUAGGACUACCCGCUGAACUUAAGCAUAUCAAUAAGCGGAGGA